ensembl:lncRNA
CACACAAAUAGCUCUGUUGCUUUCUCACAGGUGCUUAAGCUUUGGCAAAACAAGUACCUUAAUCACCAGUUUCCUCCUUCUAAUUAAUGAGAUAGUCUAAUUCAGCUGCAAUUUCAAACUCACUUUCAGUGCAGAGUACUGCAGAAGUAUGUGAACUCCCUAAUGAGCUUUGUGGAACAAGAAAAGGCUAUAAAGGAUGAAGAGCCUCACAGAAAACUAUGCUAACGCUGAAAGUACUAAGGCCUAGGAAGAGGAUCAGCAGUUGGAUCUGCAUAGCAGUUCUCUUAUGGAGUAUGGACAUCACCCACGUUCUGAGCCAGCACCUGCUUCUAGAGAACCAAGUGCAAAGUCUGGGAAUCAACAUUAAUUAUGGAUUAUUGGUAAUGGAAUUUCUUCUGCUAAAGGAUUAUCAAAAUCAGCAAGCAGCAAAAUUAGUUCGUGUUUCUGUUCUGGACGCUAGAUGGCAAACUGAUAGUGUGAUAGACAUCAGGCUUGUUAUCAUGGAAAUCUCUGAUUAGGUAUGCUGUACAAAAUGCAAGUUAUCUGUAUGCAAAUGAGCAGUAGCUUGAUGUGGUGCAUGCUGAUAGCAAACAGAAUACUUCAAUCUUUAUGUUUCUAACUAAUCUGUGACUUUCCAAGAUUGGACAAUGCGGCUUUUGUUGGAAUCGCAGAGGUCUCUACAGCAAAUGCUUCAGGUGGACUUCCUUUCUCUUUCUGGCCCUUCCAUGGCUGAGCAGGGAGGUGUGUCAGACAGCCCCAUGGUGGGCUUCACCUGGAAACCAGGGGCGAUUCAACCAAGGUUAACUCAAGGUCCUUGAAGAGGGACUGUGACACAGUACAGAGCUGUGAGGAUACACCCAAAGGAGCACAGAUAAACUCCCAUGCGUCCAUUUUGUAAGGGCCUCAUCAUUAACACAAGAUAUCUGAGGGAUUUGAACAGCCAACACAACACUGGCUCAGAAUAAAUCUUUAUCCUUCAGAUAUCAUCAUGCAUGUACAAACCUUUAUUUCCAAUAUAACAGCCCGGGGAACAGUGAAACCAUGGGGAAGCUGCAAGGUUAAAGCUGUUAUUCAACAUAUCACUGCCUCUCUACCAUACACCAGCAAUUACUUACAACACAAGCUGCUGGAGAGUCACUCAAGCUGGCAAAAAAUUCUUCUGCAGUAGCUCCUGGAUGAUGUCUUCCCUGUCUCUCUGGUCAGAACCAUGGCAGCUAUGGGGAGAAGCAGAGCAGAUUUCACAGGCUGCUGAUGCUACAGCUGCUGCUGCUGAAAUUGCUUCCUCGGGAGAUCUGCAGAGUCAGAGCACUUGGGAAGAGCCUGCUGGAGAGAAACAAAAGGCACCAAAAUGCCUUCCAACAACUCCGUAUCAUUGCUCCCAUCGCUAAAAUUAUGCCUGCUCAGGGUGCAGUUGCUAACAGCUGGUUUUCCAGCUCAGAACAUCUCUAAGUUACAGAUUAGGCACUGGAAAUACAGAAUGCUCCAUAAACAUGCUAAAACAUAUGGAGUAUUGGGAAGAGAAAUCGUACUCGCUCAAGACAAAAUCCACCUACAUAACAGAAGUAGGUGCUUGGAGAGAAGCAAUUUACUUGACUUGCUUGUAAAUAUUUAGUGCUUUGCAGUUGGUUUCUGUCAGCAGAUAACGUUGGAAGCAGGUAUUUCCUCGGACAUAAGUGACAAUUUGCAGACUAUGGAUAAAAUUGAACAGAUCAUGACACAGCUCCUAGCCUGUUUUUUCCAUAACCACUGGGCCCAAAUGUCUUCUGAGCGCUCUCAGGGCUACAGCUAUGAACAAACCCAUUCGGAUUCUCUGCCUAAUGCUGAUUUACAGAAACAGCAGUUAAUCCUCAACUCUUAUUUUAGUUAUAAAAUCUCACAGUAACUUCAGUGACAAAAUAUCCCAGCAUCUCUCCAGACCUUUACAUAGCGCAGUUCCUAGGGCCUAAUUUUCAUUACUUUAGCUGUCACUGAACUCUUAAUCAAGUCCUCCCUUUACAGAAGAGGGUUUUAGCAGAGCUCCUGUUUGUCUUUGGUAAAAGACAUCUACAUCCAGAAUUUAGGAAGUGUCCUAUGAAUUUCUUUGUAUUGACAAGAAUUUGAAAUACUCCGUUUUUUGUUGGUGGUGUUAUUAUUAUUAGACUUGGAAAUUGUUAUUUCUGUUUCCUUUUCAUUCACAUCCAGAGGAUCAAGGCAGAACAAAUAGAAAUGUACACAAGUUUGGGGAUAUGCACUUUUUUUUAAGUAUACUGCAGUGUUUGGGCUGCAAGAGAAUUAUUCAGAAGCAAGCCAUAAUACUUGCAAUGCAUUUUUUUAUGCUUAGCCCAUGUAUUUAAGUAUUAGUUUAUCAAGACUAGCUGUUACACCGCAGAAUAAAUGUCUUUUUAUGAACUAGAUCUUCUAAUGUGUUUAGUAAGUAUCUAAAGAGUUGAACUAGAUAGGUGCUGGGGGCUGCAGGCUGUCAAAGGCAACUUCCACAGCCUACUUCACCUAAGCCAGAGCUCUGGAAAGCUGAGGGAUGGGGGUAACUAGGGCUAUGGUUAGAGGCUGGGGAGACUGUGCCAUGGUCCGUGUUCUCCUCCAGUCAGCAGAUGCAGUGGCUGCUACUAUCUUUUCUCUCUAAAUUUUGGCUCCAUCCUCAGCCCUGCUUUAUUCCUGUC